UCCUCCCCCAUUUUUCUCUCCCACGAAAUCCCAUUUUUCCCAUUCCCUUCCCGUUUCUUAAUCACUUUUUAUUUUUUUUUUCUUCCUCACCCACAGCAAAUUCGUUCUGCUCUCGCUCUUCCUCAUUCGCGUGCUGGUCGGAGAUCUUGAGUGCUGCACGCCGCCGACCUUGCGUCUCAAGCCUUAGCCGCCGAUGACUUCCACCGCCUAAUCGACGCCGUGAGGCUUUGGUGCUGCGAUUUUGAAGGUGCAGCCCGUGGGUUUUUGGUGGAUCUUCCCUGCGAUUUUGUGUUGUUUUGGUGGUGUAAUUUCGCUGUUCUCCUCGGAUCCUCACAACCGUAGAGCCUCAAACCGAAAACAGUUCAUAGCGUUUAGGGCAGAAUUUUACGACUGGACAGCGUUGCUUCGCUCCCUUCUUCCACCGAUCACCACACGACGCUAGGUGACGAGACUAGUAGUAGUCGAAUUCAAGACAUAGAUAAUACACUGCAGGAGUCAGCAAAGUGGUUUUUAUGUGGUUUUUCCUGUGUGCACACUCGGGGCUCCGAGAAUAAUAAGGGGAAGAUUCAUCUCUGUCUCUUCCUGGUUUGGCCACUGGGGAUAGCACAACCCUACCACAGAGAUAAUGUGGAGGGUCCAACUAAGGACCAGGAAUAGGAAGUAUGAGCAUGACUAAGCUGAGGAGAAGGGGGUCGAGUACCUUACGGUACUACUGUAAAAGAUGGAAUUCUGAUGUCUUUUAGUUAUAUUUAUGUAUUUGGUUUAAUAGGACUUAAAGACUUAUUAGUUUAUUAUGUUGAGACUACUGAGAGAUUAUGAACCCCUUAGUUUAUGUUAUUAUUAUAGUGAUGAUUUUGUGGAGUUUAUAAUGUGUCUAUUUGGAAAAUAUAAGAUUUUUACUGUUUAUGAAA